UGGAUAACUGUGGUAAUUCUAGAGCUAAUACAUGCACCAAAGCUCUGACCUUGCGGGAAGAGUGCAUUUAUUAGAACAAAACCAAGCGGCUUCGGUCGUUUUUUGUUGACUCAGAAUAACUAAGCUGAUCGCAUGGUCUUGUACCGGCGACGUGUCUUUCAAGUAUCUGCCUUAUCAACUUUCGAUGGUAGUGUAUCUGACUACCAUGGUUGUGACGGGUAACGGAGGAUAAGGGUUCGACUCCGGAGAAGGGGCCUGAGAAAUGGCCACUACGUCUAAGGAUGGCAGCAGGCGCGCAAAUUACCCACUCUCAGAACGAGGAGGUAGUGACGAAAAAUAACGAGGCCGUUCUCUAUGAGGCCGGUCAUCGGAAUGGGUACAAUCUAAACCCUUUAACGAGUAUCUAUGAGAGGGCAAGUCUGGUGCCAGCAGCCGCGGUAAUUCCAGCUCUCAAAAUGCAUAGAAUUAUUGCUGCGGUUAAAAAGCUCGUAGUUGGAUCUGUGCCAGGAGAGCGGUCCACUUUCGGGUGGUACUGCUACGACUGGCUUUUUGCUGGUUUUCUCGUCGUAGUCUUAACCGAUUGCGGCGGGUGGCUGGCGAUUUUACUUUGAACAAAUCAGAGUGCUUAACACAGGCGUUUCGCUUGAAUGUUCUUGCAUGGAAUAAUAGAAAAGGAUUUCGGUUCUAUUUUAUUGGUUUUAUAGACUGAGAUAAUGGUUAACAGAGACAAACGGGGGCAUUCGUAUUGCUGCGUGAGAGGUGAAAUUCUUGGACCGCAGCAAGACGAACUACAGCGAAAGCAUUUGCCAAGAAUGUCUUCAUUAAUCAAGAACGAAAGUCAGAGGUUCGAAGGCGAUCAGAUACCGCCCUAGUUCUGACCGUAAACGAUGCCAACUAGCGAUCCGCCGGUGGAUAUUUUGCCCUGGUGGGGAGCUUCCCGGAAACGAAAGUCUUCCGGUUCCGGGGGAAGUAUGGUUGCAAAGCUGAAACUUAAAGGAAUUGACGGAAGGGCACCACCAGGAGUGGAGCCUGCGGCUUAAUUUGACUCAACACGGGAAAACUCACCCGGCCCGGACACCGUAAGGAUUGACAGAUUGAUAGCUUUUUCAUGAUUCGGUGGAUGGUGGUGCAUGGCCGUUCUUAGUUCGUGGAGCGAUUUGUCUGGUUUAUUCCGAUAACGAGCGAGACUCUAGCCUACUAAAUAGUUCGCACAUUGCUU
rnacentral:rRNA from 1 species